CACACUCCCCUCACCCCCAUCUUCCUCCCUCAAAGCUAAAUGGAUAAGGUACAGGGCAACCUGGAAGCCACAAGAAGGAGCCACAAAAUGGAAGGAACUUGGAUGCCUGAGUCACCAUGUGGAGAAAACACCAACCAGAAAGCUUCAUCUGAUCUUCAUUUGGCUGUGAUAUGAAUCCAGCCUGCUGUUUGUAAUCAACUCUGAAAUCUGUGCGUGGUGGUUGCUGCUUACGUAGGGAGCAUGCCAUGAAGUAGAAGAGCGAAGGUGAAGACUGCUCAGAUGGCAUGGUUUGCUUCUUUCUUCCACACAAGGACUCAGAUUCUGGCUUCAGAAGGGACCAGCACCUUCUUCUCUCCCAGCAGAUUGUCCUCUUAUCCUUGGGUACAGAGGGAGAAUAUGGUCACCGCUCCCCCUCCCAGCCUCUCUCCUAAUACUGGAGGCCAACUAUGGGCCCUGAGCUUCCGAUCAAGUGAAAUUAGACAACUGUCACCAAACUGGUCUGCCUGCUCCCACUGUGCACCACUCCAGCCAAUUCUCCACCAAGCAGCAAGAGUGA